GUCGAUAUGUUCGAGUGGUUAAGAAGACAGACUUGAAAUCUGUUGGCCUUCGCCCGUUCAGGUUCGAACCCUGCUGUUGAUG